GUGAAGCUUUCCCCUGCAAGCCUGGAAUCUUCUGAUAUGGGCAGAGCAAUGGAGGUAUGUUGCUGGAAAGCCAAGCCUCCUUUCUCCUAAUGAACCUCCAAACCUCCUGUGCUGCGAGUCAGUGAUGAAAUAACCAUCGUCUGCAUAAAGCUUUUAGUGCUGAAUGUGAAAAAGCUGCCAGCAGGUGGGAUCUGUAAUCAAACAGGAUAUAACAACUUGCACCUGGAUUACAAGG